rnacentral:rRNA from 1 species
AUGUGCCCCUCGCCCGCUGCUGCUGAUCCACCUCCGCCGGCCUGGCCGAGCCCCAGCUGCUGCGCGUGCACUGCCAUCGGCGCGGGGAUGUUCAUGAAAUGUAGCCCGCUCGGCACGCCGCGGUACACGGUCGCCGAGCCGCCGCCGCCGCUUCCGGGUUGCGGGAACGUCCAGAUCGACUCGCCGCCACCGGCAGGCGCCGCUCCGGCGCCCUGGGCGUGGCUCGUCGGCACCAUCCACACAGUGCCCGGCAUUUGGCUCUGCGUGUACCCGGCCAUCUGCUGCUGGUACUGUUGUUGCUGUUGCUGUUGGUGUCGCUGCUGCUGCAUUUCUUGCUCCCAACGCCGCUUCCUGGACAGUUCCGUGUUGGCCGCGGCCGUCGCCGACGAUGGCGAAACGUCGAGGCCGACGCUUCCAGAGUGGAAGCUCAGCAGCAGCGGGGACGACGAGGAGGUGGUGGUGGAUGCCGGGCUCUCGAGGCCGCCGCCGAACCCGAGACCGACGAAGCGGUCCCACGCGUCAGCCCGAGCGGAGGGAGAUGUUGAGAGAGGUGAAGUUGGCCGGGAUGGUGCCUGUGCCGGUUGCCGCGAUCACAGCGGGCUCCGCCUGCUGCAGGAGCCACUCGAUGGUCUCGCCGUCCGUCUUGUGCCCCAGCUCCCGCGUCAGCUGGAACACCCGCGCCGCGCAGAUCGCCGGCAUCCGGAUGCGGCGGCCGCGGCCGUCCACCUUCGUAUGCCGGUCCUUGCUCGUGGUCCGCUUAGGCGGCGCCGCCUUCCGCACCUGCAGCUCCCCCGUCGCCGACCCAUUCGUCCCGAGCCCAGCAGCCGGGGAGAUGGAGCACGGAUGUUCCUCCUUCUUUUCGAGGAGCUGCAGGGGGGAGUUGGGGCGGCGACCUCCACCGGCGUCCCCGGUAACGUCCAUGGUCUCGAUUAG